UAAAAUUAAAUUAAUAAAAGGUUUUACAUUAGCCGCGCAAGCUUUCGGUAGUGCAAUAAUAUUCAUACCUUUAUCUGGUAAAAUAUUGAAUAAAUUAGGAUAUGGUUACACCUUUA